GCGGCCAUAUCCAGUGAUGGUUGGCAAAAACAAGGAAAGAGCUCGAAAGAGAGAAGGCCUUGUUUUUGCCUAAAACCAGCAGUUUGCUGUCUCUAAAUAGGUUGGUGGUGACAGCCACAAGCCUCAAAAAGAAAAGGAAAGCAAGCUUGGGUCCUGUACCUAACUCCGGCGAGGUUAAAUGAGGAAAAUCCAACGACCUUUCUCGAUGGAAAAAUCAAAAAAUCAUGGAAACAUAUGUGCAAUCAAUAGGAAUUUCGGGAAUUCUUGAAAUCUUUGGUGUGGAGUCUAAAGUAGGAGAAGAGCAAUUCUUUUAUAGAGAUAAUCCUAGGGUUUUAGCCGACAUUGGC
rnacentral:lncRNA from 1 species